ACGUCCGGAACGGGCGCUAAUACCGCAUACGUCCUGAGGGAGAAAGUGGGGGAUCUUCGGACCUCACGCUAUCAGAUGAGCCUAGGUCGGAUUAGCUAGUUGGUGGGGUAAAGGCCUACCAAGGCGACGAUCCGUAACUGGUCUGAGAGGAUGAUCAGUCACACUGGAACUGAGACACGGUCCAGACUCCUACGGGAGGCAGCAGUGGGGAAUAUUGGACAAUGGGCGAAAGCCUGAUCCAGCCAUGCCGCGUGUGUGAAGAAGGUCUUCGGAUUGUAAAGCACUUUAAGUUGGGAGGAAGGGCAGUAAGUUAAUACCUUGCUGUUUUGACGUUACCAACAGAAUAAGCACCGGCUAACUUCGUGCCAGCAGCCGCGGUAAUACGAAGGGUGCAAGCGUUAAUCGGAAUUACUGGGCGUAAAGCGCGCGUAGGUGGUUCAGCAAGUUGGAUGUGAAAUCCCCGGGCUCAACCUGGGAACUGCAUCCAAAACUACUGAGCUAGAGUACGGUAGAGGGUGGUGGAAUUUCCUGUGUAGCGGUGAAAUGCGUAGAUAUAGGA
rnacentral:rRNA from 1 species